rnacentral:rRNA from 1 species
GUGGGGAAUCUUGCGCAAUGGGCGAAAGCCUGACGCAGCCAUGCCGCGUGGAUGAUGAAGGUCUUAGGAUUGUAAAAUCCUUUCACCGGUGAAGAUAAUGACUGUAGCCGGAGAAGAAGCCCCGGCUAACUUCGUGCCAGCAGCCGCGGUAAUACGAAGGGGGCUAGCGUUGCUCGGAUUUACUGGGCGUAAAGGGCGCGUAGGCGGACAUUUAAGUCAGGGGUGAAAUCCCGGGGCUCAACCUCGGAACUGCCUUUGAUACUGGUGUCUUGAGUAUGAGAGAGGUGUGUGGAACUCCGAGUGUAGAGGUGAAAUUCGUAGAUAUUCGGAAGAACACCAGUGGCGAAGGCGACACACUGGCUCAUUACUGACGCUGAGGCGCGAAAGCGUGGGGAGCAAACAGGAUUAGAAACCCCUGUAGUCC